UUGACCCCGCUCCAAGCUCGGCGAUGCACAAAAUUUCGAUCCUAAAGCAAGCCGAAGGGAACCUAUCUCCGUCCGUGGAUCGCAUGCCUCCUCGCGAGGACUCGAGAAGCGGCCGGGAGGGUACCCGUCAUGUGCAAAGGGGAAUCGAAAUUUCCUUUACCGAGCCGAGCGGGGUCUUU
rnacentral:other from 1 species